rnacentral:rRNA from 1 species
CUCCGGUUGAUCCCGCCGGACCCGACUGCUAUCAGAGUGGGACUAAGCCAUGCGAGUCAACGUAGCAAUACGUGGCAUACGGCUCAGUAACACGUAGUCAACAUGCCCAGGGGACGAGGAUAACCUCGGGAAACUGAGGAUAAACCUCGAUAGGCCAUGAUUUCUGGAAUGAUUCUUGGCUCAAACCUAUAUGGCCCCUGGAUUGGACUGCGGCCGAUCAGGCUGUUGGUGAGGUAAUGGCCCACCAAACCUAUUACCGGUACGGGCUCUGAGAGGAGGAGCCCGGAGAUGGGCACUGAGACAAGGGCCCAGGCCCUAUGGGGCGCAGCAGGCGCGAAACCUCUGCAAUAGGCGAAAGCUUGACAGGGUUACUCUGAGUGAUUUCCGCUAAGGGAAUCUUUUGGCACCUCUAAAAAUGGUGCAGAAUAAGGGGUGGGCAAGUCUGGUGUCAGCCGCCGCGGUAAUACCAGCACCCCGAGUGGUCGGGACGAUUAUUGGGCCUAAAGCAUCCGUAGCCGGUCCUGCAAGUCUUCCGUUAAAUCCAGCUGCUCAACAGAUGGGCUGCGGGAGAUACUACAGGGCUAGGAGGCGGGAGAGGCAAGCGGUACUUUAUGGGUAGGGGUAAAAUCCGCUGAUCCAUAGAAGACCACCAGUGGCGAAGGCGGCUUGCCAGAACGCGCUCGACGGUGAGGGAUGAAAGCUGGGGGAGCAAACCGGAUUAGAUACCCGGGUAGUCCCAGCUGUAAACGAUGCAGACUCGGUGAUGAGUUGGCUUAUUGCUAACUCAGUGCCGCAGGGAAGCCGUUAAGUUUGCCACCUGGGGAGUACGGUCGCAAGACUGAAACUUAAAGGAAUUGGCGGGGGAGCA